CUCCUCUCAGGCUCGCAUCUGGAGAGUUUCCAGUACUCUACCAGGUUCUGUUAUGGAAGGGGGAGUCAAGCAGAGGCCUGCCCAUUCCAUUUCUAGCUUGGGCAAUGGCUAGCAAAUGGAAGGCAAUCUCCUACAAGU